rnacentral:rRNA from 1 species
CAAAAACAUCUCUUCUUGUGAAUUUUUUGAAGUAUAGUCUGCCCACUGAUUUUAUUGAAGGGCCGCGGUAUUUUGACCGUGCAAAGGUAGCAUAAUCAUUAGUCCUUUAAUUGUGGACUGGUAUGAAUGGCUUGACGAGACACUAUCUGUCUUUUUUAGGUUUUGUUGAAUUUGGAUUUUGGGUAAAAAUACCUAAAUUUUGUUGUGGGACGAGAAGACCCUAUAGAGUUUUAUGUAGUUUUUUUUCUUUGGUUUGAUUUAGUUUUAUUAAGUUUUACUGCAUUUUGUUGGGGUGAUGGGAAAAUAAUUGAACUUUUCCUUUUUUCAAUUCACUUAUUUGUGUUUCUAUGAUCCUUUAUUAUUGAUUGUAAGAUUAAAUUACCUUAGGGAUAACAGCGUAAUCUUUUUUGAGAGUUCUUAUUGACAAAAGGGUUUGCGACCUCGAUGUUGGAUUAGGAUGAAUUUUGG